UACGGGGGGGGCAAGCGUUGUUCGGAAUUACUGGGCGUAAAGGGCUCGUAGGUGGCCAACUAAGUCAGACGUGAAAUCCCUCGGCUUAACCGGGGAACUGCGUCUGAUACUGGAUGGCUGGAGUUUGGGAGAGGGAUGCGGAAUUCCAGGUGUAGCGGUGAAAUGCGUAGAUAUCGGGAGGAACACCUAUGGCGAAGGCAGCUCGCUGGGACGUUACUGACGCUGAGACGCGAAAGCGUGGGGAGCGAACAGG
rnacentral:rRNA from 1 species